AACGAACGCUGGCGGCAUGCCUAACACAUGCAAGUCGAACGAGACCUUCGGGUCUAGUGGCGCACGGGUGCGUAACGCGUGGGAACCUGCCCUUAGGUUCGGAAUAACUCCCCGAAAGGGGUGCUAAUACCGGAUAAUGUCUUCGGACCAAAGAUUUAUCGCCUUUGGAUGGGCCCGCGUUGGAUUAGCUAGUUGGUAGGGUAAAAGCCUACCAAGGCGACGAUCCAUAGCUGGUCUGAGAGGAUGAUCAGCCACACUGGGACUGAGACACGGCCCAGACUCCUACGGGAGGCAGCAGUGGGGAAUAUUGGACAAUGGGCGAAAGCCUGAUCCAGCAAUGCCGCGUGAGUGCUGAAGGCCUUAGGGUUGUAAAGCUCUUUUACCCGGGAUGAUAAUGACAGUACCGGGAGAAUAAGCUCCGGCUAACUCCGUG
rnacentral:rRNA from 1 species